rnacentral:rRNA from 1 species
GACGAACGCUGGCGGCGUGCUUAACACAUGCAAGUCGAACGGUGAAGCGCCUUCCUUUUUGGUGGGUGUGGAUGAGUGGCGAACGGGUGAGUAACACGUGAGUAACCUGCCCCCUUCUUCUGGAUAACCGCAUGAAAGUGUGGCUAAUACGGGAUAUUCUGGGUCUGUCGCAUGAUGGGUCUGGGAAAGAUAUUGUUUCGGUGGGGGAUGGGCUCGCGGCCUAUCAGCUUGUUGGUGGGGUGAUGGCCUACCAAGGCGGUGACGGGUAGCCGGCCUGAGAGGGUGGACGGUCACACUGGGACUGGGACACGGCCCAGACUCCGACGGGAGGCAGCAGUGAGGAAUAUUGCACAAUGGGCGGAAGCCUGAUGCAGCGACGCCGCGUGAGGGAUGGAGGCCUUCGGGUUGUGAACCUCUUUCGCCAGUGAAGCAGGCCUGCCUCGUUUGUGGGUGGGUUGACGGUAGCUGGAUAAGAAGCGCCGGCUAACUACGUG